rnacentral:tRNA from 3 species
GCUCCGGUAGUAUAGCCCGGACAAGUAUGCCGGCCUUUCGAGCCGGAGACCCGGGUUCAAAUCCCGGCCGGAGCA